UUGAUCCCGCCGGAGGCCAUUGCUAUCGGGGUCCGACUUAGCCAUGCUAGUUGCACGGGUUCAGACCCGUAGCGAACAGCUCAGUAACACGUGGCCAAACUACCCUCUGGACGCGGACACCCUCGGGAAACUGAGGCUAAUCCGCGAUACGGCUCUCACGCUGGAAUGCGGGGAGCCGGAAAGGCUCCGGCGCCAGAGGAUGUGGCUGCGGCCGAUUAGGUAGACGGUGGGGUAACGGCCCACCGUGCCCAUAAUCGGUACGGGAUGUGAGAGCAAAUAGCCCGGAGAUGGAUUCUGAGACAAGAAUCCAGGCCCUACGGGGCGCAGCAGGCGCGAAACCUUUACACUGCACGCCAGUGCGAUAAGGGGACCCCGAGUGCGAGGGCAUACAGUCCUCGCUUUUGUACACCGUAAGGAGGUGUACGAAUAAGGGCUGGGCAAGACCGGUGCCAGCCGCCGCGGUAAUACCGGCAGCCCGAGUGAUGGCCGCUGUUAUUGGGCCUAAAGCGUCCGUAGCCGGCCGAACAAGUCUGUCGGGAAAUCCAUCCGCCUAACGGAUGGGCGUCCGGCAGAAACUGUUCGGCUUGGGGCCGGAAGAUCCGAGGGGUACGUCCGGGGUAGGAGUGAAAUCCCGUAAUCCUGGACGGACCGCCGGUGGCGAAAGCGCCUCGGAAGGACGGACCCGACGGUGAGGGACGAAAGCUGGGGUCUCGAACCGGAUUAGAUACC
rnacentral:rRNA from 1 species